GGGCGUAAAGCGGCGCGCAGGUGGUCUCUNUAAGUCUUCAUGUGAAAGCGCCCCGGCUCAAGCCGGGGAGGGUCAUUGGAAACUGGGAGACUUGAGUGCAGGAGAGAAGAGUGGAAUUCCACGUGUAGCGGUGAAAUGCGUAGAGAUGUGGAGGAACACCAGUGGCGAAGGCGACUCUUUGGCCUGUAACUGACACUGAGGCGCGAAAGCGUGGGGAGCAAACAG
rnacentral:rRNA from 1 species